CCGUCUUGUGAAGGAAAAGCGGGUUGAUGGUUGGGAUGAUCCCCGUUUGAUGACAUUAUCUGGUUUGCGACGUAGAGGUGUUACUUCAACUUCAAUUAAUGCUUUUGUUCGAGGAAUUGGAAGUACUAGAAGUGAUUCUAGUAUGAUAAAUGUUGACCGCCUUGAGUACCACAUAAGAGAGGAACUAAACAAAA